AAUCUUGCGCAAUGGGCGAAAGCCUGACGCAGCGAUGCCGCGUGCGGGAAGACGGCCUUCGGGUUGUAAACCGCUUUCAGCAGGGACGAAAUUGACGGUACCUGCAGAAGAAGCUCCGGCCAACUACGUGCCAGCAGCCGCGGUAAGACGUAGGGGGCGAGCGUUGUCCGGAAUUAUUGGGCGUAAAGGGCUCCUAGGCGGUUCAGUAAGUCGACUGUGAAAAUCCAAGGCUCAACCUUGGGACGCCAGUCGAUACUGCUGUGACUCGAGUUCGGUAGAGGAGUGUGGAAUUCCUGGUGUAGCGGUGAAAUGCGCAGAUAUCAGGAGGAACACCAACGGCGAAGGCAGCACUCUGGGCCGAUACUGACGCUGAAGAGCGAAAGCGUGGGGAGCAAACAGG
rnacentral:rRNA from 1 species